rnacentral:lncRNA from 1 species
UUAAGAAGUGAGUAUGUGGGAUAAAUCAGAGAUUGAUUUAUGAGUUAUUGAUUAUGUAAUUGGAGUUGAGUGAUUGAAUUAUAUGAGGAGUUAUUGGAAGAUUAUGAUUGUUGUUUAUUGAGAGUUGUAUGUGUUUAGAGACAAAAAUUCUAUGAUUACAAAAAUUAUGUGAAUUCGGAUUAUUGGACUGAAAUCUGUUAUUCCUGGUGUUGGAUAGAAAUUAUUAUGUUUUAAGUGGUCUUUUGAGAGUGCAGGAUUGUACACUAUUAUUAUUAGUUGAUCAAGGAGUAUUGUUACUGGGAGAAAACGUUGUAGUAUUUCUUAGUAUUUUAGUGGUUCGGAAUACAAUUAAUUGUAUGAUCCUAAUAAGCAAAACGCAUGCACUUAUUCUUUCCAUGUAUUCGAAUUCUCCUAUACAGGUUUAUUUUGAAAAGAAUUAUAGAAUAAAUAAAACAACAAUCACAGUUUUCAAAUAU